AGCAGACGAGGGAAUCGCACUUCACCUUCGCCAGGAUUGAAUAAGAUAAUUUUCAAAAGUUCUUCGCUAAUUGGUGGUUCAGCAAAUGUGCUUAGUUUACCACCUCAGUGUCAUGUGGCCAUCAUCCACCUGUCCUGUUGUCAUACAGCUGAGAAGAAGCUCUGCAUUCUAUCCCUCGGCUGUUCCAAGCCACCCUUAGCGUACUGAUGUGCGGCAGGCAAUGCAGAUGGCACACCUGACAGAGCAGCAGAAAUGCUUGUGCAGAAAUGGUUCCUGAGUACAACCCGGGACCCAGAGCAGCCCAAGAUAACCAGCGUUGGCGAGGACCCAGGCAACCAUGGAGCCUUGAGCUGCAGAUGCAUUAACCCCAUAUUUAAAUCCACGCUUAGUCACAGGGUGCACAUCCCAGGUGACGGCAGAGAUAUUAUUUUACAGCACUCUGUGCCAUUGUUCAUGGGCUUUCUGGAAUUAUUUUGUGGGAAUGAGAAAGUCCCUUGUGACAAUCACAGCAUGGCUGGGCUCCAGUUGCCUCUAACCUCCAAGUGGCGUGAGUGAAGAUGCUCCAGUGUGGACAUGAGACUGAUUUCCCUUGGCUGCUCCUCGCUUCCCACGUUUGUGUUGUUUUCUCUGCCAAAGGGCCAGCUGAAAGCCAUCCAGAUGUGUACAAGAGAAAAGGGUGGAAGUACUGCUCAUUUGGAAAUCUAUCCAAAUGGUUUCUUUCUUAUGAUACGAUGAGGAGGGUGUGAUGUUCUACGCCUCAGUAUCUACUUGCAUAUGGGAACAUCCUGACUCACUUGAAGGUGUUGGAAAGAGAAGCGGGAAGCUCUGAGCGUGAGUGGUAACAAGACAGCAGAAGGCCAAGUGUCAUCUUGGAGUUAUGUUACAUGGCUUAAUCCUUAGACAUCAUCCAGCCCUCAACAAACUCAGAAUGUUCAAAGGAUUUCUGUUAUCCAUCAGCUCGGCAACAAGCAUUUUGAAGUUCUUACUCUGCAAAGCUUGUGCAUGAGUCUAUCCAAGCCUGUUCCGGAGAUGCAAGGCCAAGGUGGAUUACACUGUGCUUUCUUCUGAUUAUAUUCUCCUGUCCCCCCAUGAAGAAAGACUAGGUUAAAAUUAACUGCUAGUUAAAAGUGUAGUAUAGAGACCAUGUGCAGCCUGCUGUGAAGGAGACGGUGGAGGAGGGCUCGCCUGUAAAACUUGACACGUGGCUUUGGGCUUUAUGGAGAAUAAAGGAAGGGUGGUUUCAGAUUGAUCCAUAAAACUUGAGCGGUCA